rnacentral:rRNA from 1 species
GAGUCAACGUAGCAAUACGUGGCAUACGGCUCAGUAACACGUAGUCAACAUAACCAAAGGACGUGGAUAAACUCGGGAAACUGAGGCUAAACCGCGAUAGAUCAAGAUACCUGGAAUGGUUUUUGAUCAAAAUCUAUAUGGCCUUUGGAUUGGACUGCGUCCGAUCAGGCUGUUGGUGAGGUAAUGGCCCACUAAACCUAUAACCGGUACGGGCUCUGAGAGGAGGAGCCCGGAGAUGGGUACUGAGAUAAGGACCCAGGCCCUAUGGGGCGCAGCAGGCGCGAAACCUCUGCAAUAGGCGAAAGCUUGACAGGGUUACUCUGAGUGACUUUCGUUAAGAAAGUCUUUUGACACCUCUAAAAAUGGUGUAGAAUAAGGGGUGGGCAAGUCUGGUGUCAGCCGCCGCGGUAAUACCAGCACCCCGAGUGGUCGGGACGAUUAUUGGGCCUAAAGCAUCCGUAGCCGGCCUUACAAGUCCUCCGUUAAAUCCAGCUGCUUAACAGAUGGGCUGCGGAGGAAACUAUAAGACUAGGAGGCAGGAGAGGCAAGCGGUACUCAGUGGGUAGGGGUAAAAUCCGUUGAUCCAUUGAAGACCACCAGUGGCGAAGGCGGCUUGCCAGAAUGCGCUCGACGGUGAGGGAUGAAAGCUGGGGGAGCAAACCGGAUUAGAUACCCGGGUAGUCCCAGCCGUAAACGAUGCAGACUCGGUGAUGGACUAGCUUUAUGCUGGUCCAGUGCCGCAGGGAAGCCGUUAAGUCUGCCGCCUGGGUAGUACGGUCGCAAGACUGAA